CUGGAUUCCAGUCAUUCCCUAAGAUAAAAGGAUUCAGCAGGAAUAUGAAACACACUGAGAAAGGGACCUGGCCAUGCUUGUUCCUCUCCUGACCAGGCAAACAUUAGUAAAACCUAAAGAGAUGCUCCUGUGUGCCACAGAGCCUGACAUCAGUGGUUGCUAGAGCGGCUUUCCUGACCGGGAACUGUGUCCUUAAAUUGAGACUAUGCACUAGACAAAUCCUCUCAGCAUAACAGAAUUGCAGUUUGUCUAUGAUCACGUAUAGGAACUGAGCCUACAACCCACACCAAUAUAAGCAGGAAAAAAG
rnacentral:lncRNA from 1 species